UACAGAAGUCCCAAGCGUUGUUCGGAUUCACUGGGCGUAAAGGGUGCGUAGGCGGUCGGGUAAGUCUGAUGUGAAAUCUCACAGCUUAACUGUGAUACUGCAUUGGAUACUAUCCGGCUAGAGGAAUGGAGGGGAGACUGGAAUACUUGGUGUAGCAGUGAAAUGCGUAGAUAUCAAGUGGAACACCAGUGGCGAAGGCGAGUCUCUGGACAUUUCCUGACGCUGAGGCACGAAAGCCAGGGGAGCAAACGGG
rnacentral:rRNA from 1 species